GAUGAACGCUGGCGGCGUGCUUAACACAUGCAAGUCGAACGGAAAGGCUCCUGCUUGCAGGGGUACUCGAGUGGCGAACGGGUGAGUAACACGUGGGUGAUCUGCCCUGCACUUCGGGAUAAGCCUGGGAAACUGGGUCUAAUACCGGUUAGGACGAUGGUUUGGAUGCCAUUGUGGAAAGUUUUUCGGUGUGGGAUGAGCUCGCGGCCUAUCAGCUUGUUGGUGGGGUAAUGGCCUACCAAGGCGUCGACGGGUAGCCGGCCUGAGAGGGUGUACGGCCACAUUGGGACUGAGAUACGGCCCAGACUCCUACGGGAGGCAGCAGUGGGGAAUAUUGCACAAUGGGCGCAAGCCUGAUGCGGCGACGCCGCGUGGGGGAUGACGGCCUUCGGGUUGUAAACUCCUUUCGCUAGGGACGAAGCGCAAGUGACGGUACCUGGAGAAGAAGCACCGGCUAACUACGUG
rnacentral:rRNA from 1 species